rnacentral:rRNA from 1 species
UACGUAGGGGGCAAGCGUUGUCCGGAAUCAUUGGGCGUAAAGAGCGUGUAGGCGGCUCGAUAAGUCUGCUGUGAAAGUCCAGGGCUCAACCCUGGAAGGCCGGUGGAAACUGUCGGGCUAGAGUCCGGAAGAGGCGAGUGGAAUUCCCGUGGUAGCGGUGAAAUGCGCAGAUAUCGGGAGGAACACCAAUGGCGAAGGCAGCUCGCUGGGACGGUACUGACGCUGAGACGCGAAAGCGUGGGGAGCAAACAGG